rnacentral:tRNA from 1 species
GGUGAAAUGGCAGAGCGGCCGAAUGCGCUCCCCUGCUAAGGGAGUAUACGGUUAAUCCCGUAUCGAGAGUUCAAAUCUCUCUUUCACCGCCA